rnacentral:rRNA from 1 species
CAGCAGCCGCGGUAAAACGAAGGGUGCAAGCGUUAAUCGGAAUUACUGGGCGUAAAGCGUGCGUAGGCGGUUUGUUAAGUCUGCUGUGAAAUCCCCGGGCUCAACCUGGGAAUGGCAGUGGAUACUGGCAAGCUAGAGUGUGUCAGAGGAUGGUGGAAUUCCCGGUGUAGCGGUGAAAUGCGUAGAGAUCGGGAGGAACAUCAGUGGCGAAGGCGGCCAUCUGGGACAACACUGACGCUGAGGCACGAAAGCGUGGGGAGCAAACAGGAUUAGAUACCCCGGUAGUACCUGUCUCUUAUAC